AUGAUAAUAGAUAGCGGAUUUCGAACCUUAUCCCACUAUGACUCAGAACUUUUAUAUUUCACACGUAAAAUCACGAAGCCACCUUCUAAUAUCUGGGAUUUGAUGUUCCUAAUUUACAUUCAUCCUUCUAACCUUUUGCCUUUUAUCCGACAUAUGCCUGCUCUUUACAAUUUGAUACAAAUAUGUAAUUCAGUUUUUUCGCUGUUGUAA